UGCAAAUUUACUGAAAAUUCAUAAAUACAGAUAAGUUGGUUUCAAGGCCCAAGUGCUGGUGUAUUCACCGUAGCAUUGACUUAAGCUGAGGCAGCCAGCAUGGGAACUCUGGUG